AAUCAUUAUUAAUCAAAUAUUUUCUUCAGAUGAAUUAAUUCAAACUCCAAGUUCAAGUUUAACAUAUCCUAUAUCAAAUGCAAGUUUUCAAGAAAAAGUUAUUAAAUGGAUAAGCGAUAGAUUGUACAACUAAAGCCUAUAGGAGAGCUUGAUUACAAAGAUAUGAUCAAGAAUAUAAUCAAACGAUUUUUCACAUUUUUUAUUUUUAUAAACGUUUUUUCGUGCGUGAAAUGAACAUGAAUGGUACCGAAAGCUAAAACGAGUUAGCAUUUGGUGGAAGCGAGACCGACAAAAUAAUAUGGAAAGUAGUGACACUUAAGUUCCUAAAGAUGACGGGAAAAGAAAUUUUAUCAAGUUGUUAAGAGCCUCCUUAGAAAUGCCCCUGCACGAGCAACAAAGAUAGCAGUCGUAUAAAAAAUAAUAUUGAUGUUGGUGGAAUGCAAGAAGCGUACUUGAGUGAAGUUCGACUGGAACUUUAAAGUCUGACUUUGUCAAGUUAGACUUCAAAAAAAAAAGCUUGAGCAAAUAUGUAAACGAAACUUAAAGAUUUCAAGAUUGCGCUUGAGAAAGUCAAACUUAAAAGACGUUGAUUUAAAAGCGAUAUCGAAAAAACUUUUUUGUAACCAAUACACAGUGGGCCAAAGUUUAGCAAAAGGGUCAAAACGAAAGAUCGUAUAUUGACUUUUUUAAUCAUUUGCAAUUAACAUGCGUACGUUAAUGGCAAUGAAUGUUUAUUUUAUAAUACACUUGAUUAAUUUUGUAAACCUUUUAGAAUGCUUCAAAGUCAAAAAGUUGUUAAAAUAUGUGUGAAAAACAUGUAAAUACUGGGAAUACAUCUGUAACAUUUAGAAAUAAUCUAUCCUUAUGGAAUUUGAAAACAUUUAUACGUAUUUA